rnacentral:rRNA from 1 species
UGGCGAACGGGUGAGUAACACGUGGGUGAUCUGCCCUGCACUUCGGGAUAAGCCUUGGAAACUGGGUCUAAUACCGGAUAGGACGAUGGUUUGGAUGCCAUUGUGGAAAGUUUUUCUGUGUGUGAUGAGCUCGCGGCCUAUCAGCUUGUUGGUGGGGUAAUGGCCUACCAAGGCGUCGACGGGUAGCCGGCCUGAGAGGGUGUACGGCCACAUUGGGACUGAGAUACGGCCCAG